UCAUAAGCGAGGAAAAGAAACCAACAGGGAUUGCCUUAGUAACGGCGAGUGAAGCGGCAACAGCUCAAAUUUGAAAUCUGGCCCUCGGGUCCGAAUUGUAAUUUGUAGAGGAUGAUUUUGGUGCGGUAUCUUCCGAGUUCCUUGGAACAGGACGCCUUAGAGGGUGAGAGCCCCGUACGGUUGAAUGCCUAGCCUCUGUAAAUCUCCUUCGACGAGUCGAGUAGUUUGGGAAUGCUGCUCUAAAUGGGAGGUAAAUUUCUUCUAAAGCUAAAUAUUGGCCAGAGACCGAUAGCGCACAAGUAGAGUGAUCGAAAGAUGAAAAGCACUUUGAAAAGAGGGUUAAAUAGCACGUGAAAUUGUUGAAAGGGAAGGAUUUGUGACCAGACUUUUUCUGGGCGGAUCAUCCGGGGUUCUCUCCGGUGCACUUUGCCCAGUAAAGGCCAGCAUCGAUUUUCGGCGGCGGAUAAAAGCAGUGGGAAUGUGGCUCCCUACGGGGAGUGUUAUAGCCCAUUGUAUAAUACGCUGCUGGGGAUCGAGGUACGCGCUUCUGCAAGGAUGCUGGCGUAAUGGUUAUCAAUCACCCGUCUUGAAACACGGACCAAGGAGUCGAACAUUUAUGCGAGUGUUUGGGUGUUAAACCCUCACGCGUAAUGAAAGUGAACGGAGGUGAGAGCCCGUACGGGUGCAUCAUCGACCGAUCCUGAAGUUUUCGGAUGGAUUUGAGUAAGAGCAUAACUGUUCGGACCCGAAAGAUGGUGAACUAUGCGUGGAUAGGGUGAAGCCAGAGGAAACUCUGGUGGAGGCUCGCAGCGGUUCUGACGUGCAAAUCGAUCGUCNAAAUCUGCGCAUGGGGCGAAAGACUAAUC
rnacentral:rRNA from 1 species